UACGUAGGGCGCAAGCGUUGUCCGGAAUUAUUGGGCGUAAAGAGCUCGUAGGCGGCUUGUCACGUCGGGUGUGAAAGACCGGGGCUUAACCCCGGUUCUGCAUUCGAUACGGGCUGGCUAGAGUGUGGUAGGGGAGAUCGGAAUUCCUGGUGUAGCGGUGAAAUGCGCAGAUAUCAGGAGGAACACCGAUGGCGAAGGCGGCAUCCUGGACCAACACUGACGCUGAGUGAGCGAAAGCCAGGGGAGCAAACGGG
rnacentral:rRNA from 1 species